AAUUGGGUAGUUUAUUAAGAAUUAUAACUUGUGGCGUUAUAGGUGAAUUAGUUUCCUCAAUUC
rnacentral:tRNA from 1 species